AACGAACGCUGGCGGCAGGCCUAACACAUGCAAGUCGAACGCCCUAGCAAUAGGGAGUGGCGCACGGGUGCGUAACGCGUGGGAAUAUGCCCUUCACUGCGGAAUAACGUUUGGAAACGAACGCUAAUACCGCAUAAUGACUCCGGUCCAAAGAUUUAUCGGUGAAGGAUUAGCCCGCGUUAGAUUAGCUAGUUGGUGAGGUAAUGGCUCACCAAGGCGACGAUCUAUAGCUGGUCUGAGAGGAUGAUCAGCCACACUGGGACUGAGACACGGCCCAGACUCCUACGGGAGGCAGCAGUGAGGAAUAUUGGACAAUGGGCGCAAGCCUGAUCCAGCCAUGCCGCGUGAGUGAAGAAGGCC
rnacentral:rRNA from 1 species